GACGGAGGGGGCUAGCGUUGUUCGGAAUCACUGUGCGUAAAGGGCGCGUAGGCGGCCAAGCAAGUCAGAUGUGAAAUCCCGGGGCUUAACCCCGGAACUGCAUUUGAAACUGCAUGGCUUGAGUCUCGGAGAGGAUGGUGGAAUUCCUAGUGUAGAGGUGAAAUUCGUAGAUAUUAGGAGGAACACCGAUGGCGAAGGCAGCCAUCUGGACGAGUACUGACGCUGAGGCGCGAAAGCGUGGGGAGCAAACAGG
rnacentral:rRNA from 1 species